rnacentral:rRNA from 1 species
GUAGGUGGCAAGCGUUGUCCGGAAUUAUUGGGCGUAAAGCGCGCGCAGGCGGUUCUUUAAGUCUGAUGUGAAAGCCCGCGGCUCAACCGUGGAGGGUCAUUGGAAACUGGAGAACUUGAGUACAGAAGAGGAAAGCGGAAUUCCACGUGUAGCGGUGAAAUGCGUAGAGAUGUGGAGGAACACCAGUGGCGAAGGCGGCUUUCUGGUCUGUAACUGACGCUGAGGCGCGAAAGCGUGGGGAGCAAACAGGAUUAGAUACCCUGGUAGUCCACGCCGUAAACGAUGAGUGCUAAGUGUUAGGGGGGUUUCCGCCCCCCUUAGUGCUGCAGCUAACGCAUUAAGCACUCCGCCUGGGAGUACGGCCGCAAGGCUG